AUGAACAGCAAUGUGGCCCACUGUCACGGAUGGUGUACAGGAAACAAGAUAAUGUAAUACAAUCAAUGACUCACUGGAUCCACAACUAAGGAACAAAAGGGAGAACCCCUGCAUAAGACCUGCAACUUUCCCUCACUGCUCAGCCUAUGC